rnacentral:rRNA from 1 species
GAUGAACGCUGGCGGCGUGCCUAAUACAUGCAAGUCGAGCGAACAGACGAGGAGCUUGCUCCUCUGACGUUAGCGGCGGACGGGUGAGUAACACGUGGAUAACCUACCUAUAAGACUGGGAUAACUUCGGGAAACCGGAGCUAAUACCGGAUAAUAUAUUGAACCGCAUGGUUCAAUAGUGAAAGACGGUUUUGCUGUCACUUAUAGAUGGAUCCGCGCCGCAUUAGCUAGUUGGUAAGGUAACGGCUUACCAAGGCAACGAUGCGUAGCCGACCUGAGAGGAUGAUCGGCAACACUGGAACUGAGACACGGUCCAGACUCCUACGGGAGGCAGCAGUAGGGAAGCUUCCGCAAUGGGCGAAAGCCUGACGGAGCAACGCCGCGUGAGUGAUGAAGGUCUUCGGAUCGUAAAACUCUGUUAUUAGGGAAGAACAAAUGUGUAAGUAACUAUGCACGUCUUGACGGUACCUAAUCAGAAAGCCACGGCUAACUACGUG